rnacentral:rRNA from 1 species
GUGGGGAAUAUUGGACAAUGGGCGAAAGCCUGAUCCAGCCAUGUCGCGUGUGUGAAGAAGGUCUUCGGAUUGUAAAGCACUUUAAGUUGGGAGGAAGGGCAGUAAGUUAAUACCUUGCUGUUUUGACGUUACCAACAGAAUAAGCACCGGCUAACUUCGUGCCAGCAGCCGCGGUAAUACGAAGGGUGCAAGCGUUAAUCGGAAUUACUGGGCGUAAAGCGCGCGUAGGUGGUUCAGCAAGUUGAAGGUGAAAUCCCCGGGCUCAACCUGGGAACUGCCUCCAAAACUACUGAGCUAGAGUACGGUAGAGGGUAGUGGAAUUUCCUGUGUAGCGGUGAAAUGCGUAGAUAUAGGAAGGAACACCAGUGGCGAAGGCGACUACCUGGACUGAUACUGACACUGAGGUGCGAAAGCGUGGGGAGCAAACAGGAUUAGAAACCCGUGUAGUCC